rnacentral:lncRNA from 1 species
CAAUUUUAUUAUUUUCUUAUUUAUUUAAAAGCUCUGGAAAAUGCAGACAGAACACAGGCAGCUUUGUGUGUACAGAUGUGUACAGAAAAGGCAAUUCAGUUUGCAUAAGCUUUUGGUAUCAGUUAACACUGUUUAUGAAACUGUACUCUGCCCACUGCAUGCAAACAGCCAGCACCAGGGCAGCGCAGGACAGCCCAUGAAUGAUUACUCUCAUCAUAGGGUCAGAAGCUCUCACUCGCUGAUCAGAGUGUAUGCAUGUUAUGAAAUAAAAACCUCCAUGCUGCUAAGAUAUGCAGGUUUGUUACUGGUCCUCCUAACAUUUGAGAUGUCACAGGAGAAGUUUUGAGCGAUUCUGGGAUUUUGAUCGCUGCAGGACAUUCAUCACCAGCAGCCAGAAAAGACUGUAUCCACAGUCUACACACAAAAUGAACCUGGGAACGCAUAAACUGGCCAGCACUGUGUCCCUUCAUUCUUCACAUCACACAGGUGAAAAUAAACUGGGAUAUCAAUAGGUCCUUUUGGAUUUAGGGAUGGCCUUAGAAGGGCCUUUGCUCCUUAAAAAACUGCUUCAAAAGAUUAACACUUUGUCUGCCUUGAUUUCCCUUUUGAUUCCUCCUCCCCUGCACUGCAAUCAGUAACCACAGCCAAUAGGUUUUCCCUUGGCUUUUUUUUUUUUUGUGUGUGUUUUUUGUUCCUGCUGCUUGUUUUUUUGUUUUGGGUUUGGAUUAUUUUUAAUUAAAUAAUAUCGCUCUUUUUACUCAUUCUGACUAGCUGCUGUUACACACAGGUGAGUGAAACUCUCUUGUGAGGUCCACAGCAAAGCUCUGGCUCAGCAAGAGAGAAAAGGAAAGCACAUCAGAACCUCAGGUUUUCUCCUUUUACUGCUGGGAUUUGUUCUCAGAAAGCAGGUGUGUCAAACAGCUCGACCAGCCAGAACCUGGCGUGCUAUCUGACAAAUCUGUUUCCAGGGGGGAAAUCACUCUGGGGCUGAACUUUGGGGCACUUAAGCAUCAGAGGAGCAAACCUCUUCUAAUGGAGGUAACAAAUUACACAGGCACUCACAGCAGCACGGUGUGUGAGUGUGUUCCCACUGUGGGCAUCUUGCUGCCUCCCUGGCAGAGCCAACAGCUAAAAUGCUGGUUUGAUGCCUAACAGUUAAACAUUUCCAUCUUCCUAAAACAAGGCCCACCUUUACUGCUGGAUUCGAAGUU